AGUGCUCUGAACUUGCACCGGUAGACUGCAGAUCUGCUCUUGGGGAGACUCACUGGGCCUAGGUUUCCCUGCACUCCUGGGCUUCCGACACAGCGACCGUGCUCUGCUGUGAUCGCGGAGGGCGUGGGAAGGGUCCUGGAAAUCACGAUAGAAAAACACAAAACCCGGUUCCACGCGGUGCUUUAGUGGCUAAAAGUGAAAGAGCUGCCUUGGCAGAAUCAGCUCUAUGAAUCACUUCGGAAAAUUGGUUCGACUGAAUGGCCUUGGGAGGAAAACGUUUUAAUAGGAUCCAGGGGAGGCUCUGCCGCUUCAAUCUGCUCCUUAAACAGCGGGGUGUAAAAGACGACGCUCUCACGCGGAGGGGAGAUGCGUGCCAUGGAAAUGUGACGGACGCUGCAUGGCUCGGGACGCGGCUCCCCGGCGCGGGCGGACAGAGACCUAGAGACGACGGGCUGCGCCCCGCC
rnacentral:lncRNA from 1 species